CCCCCAACUCGACCUUCAGGUCGAGAAGGUCGAGUAGCGUGAGGUCGGCACUGGGACCGCACCAUAAUGCCGAUGGUGUCACACACUUGUAACCAUACAUCAUGAAG